rnacentral:rRNA from 1 species
UACGUAGGGGGCAAGCGUUGUCCGGAUUUACUGGGCGUAAAGAGCGUGUAGGCGGCCACGCAGGUCCGUUGUGAAAACUGGAGGCUCAACCUCCAGCUGUCGACGGAAACCGUAUGGCUAGAGUCCGGAAGAGGAGAGUGGAAUUCCUGGUGUAGCGGUGAAAUGCGCAGAUAUCGGGAGGAACACCAGUGGCGAAGGCGAUCUUCUGGACGGAUACUGACGCUGAGGCGCGAAAGCUAGGGGAGCAAACGGG